AUCAUGGAUGAUCCCCUCCGCAGAGACGAGGAGACGCGUAAUUUACUGGCUCCAUCAGGCAGGCGGCUGUUCAUCGCCGGCCAGGUACGGUCGGCGCUAUAAGCGAUCGCCGGAAUUGCCAACAGCAGCCUCACACUGUUGUUUUAGAAGCCUGUGUUUUUGCUUGGCAAUACAUCAGGAAGAUGCGUUUGAAAACUAUCCCCACGCCUGGCGCAGAGCAGGCGAGGCGCUCAAAAUGUCGGAGCUGCUCAGGGCUUCCGCGCCGCGUCCUGGAGUUCAGCGCGGCUCUUUCAGUAUCUCCUCCGGGAGAUCUACAGAGCUCACCGAUGCGCCCGGGGACAGAAGACAGGGGGGCAUCCGGGGCCCUUGCGUGAAAAUGAAGCGGCCAAGGGGGAGGGAAGAGGCAGCUUCGGAACCGUUACUUCCCGCUGUCCCUCCCCUUUGCAGUUUUCCCCCAUCUCUUCCUGUCCAAACAUUUUUUAAAUUUCCGCGCCUUCACCAACAGUCUGAUUUUAUUUAUUUGGUUUCCUCCAGGGGCUUGGGCGGUCUUCGUCUCGCUCUGCCCUCCAGGUCUGCAGGGCGGCGGCGGCGGCGGACUUCUCUCGCCUAAAGCAGGCUGCGGUCCUUUCUCCAGCGCACGCAAAGCGAGAGCCUGAGCGACCCUCGAGGGGAUGGACCACGCGGCCCGCAUCCCCUCCCUCUCUCUUCAUCCACCUGGCUCCGACGAGCUCCCGGCAGUUCUCCUUCGCAACCUGCCACGCAGCAGGAUCGGCGAGUAUUUGCUGCUUUCGGCCGCCAAACAUGCCGGCAUAUAGCCAAACAUGCCGGAAACUCCUAAGAAGAGACUCCAUCCCUCCGCAGUUUUCCUUCAGCGAAGAGGAUGCCGGAGGGGGAAAGGCGGUGUGCAAUUGCGCACUUCUAGGAAGCUGCAGCCGAGGCUGCUCCUCUUUUUCCUGGGAGAGCCAACUGCCCAAGAGAUUCCAGGCAGCAACCCCUCUUCGCUGAGAGCGGGUUACCCCAUGGAGAAAAAAAAGCUUCAGGUUUGCACCACGUGAGGAUCUGCAAUUAUGAGCUACUACAUAAUACAGAAAAUGUGCAAAGUCAAGAUAACACAGUAACAAGACGCUUUUUGUUCAAAAUUAAAAUAUCUCCAAGUGUUUACUGUGACCAAAAAAGAAAUCAAAAGCUCUGUUCUAGAAAGCAAGUUCUUAAGCAUGUUUCUCUCAAAGCAGUGAGAAAUAAAUCUGUCCUUCAAAGAGCACUGAAUACCAAUGUGGUUGCAACAUGCCUGAACCUCAGCAAUGCCUAUCACCCAACUUCCUUUAAUGACUGUUAUUUAACAUAUUGUUUCAGAUCCAUCUCUGUGUGGAAAGUUCCAUAAAUAGCAAAUAGUUGUGUGUUUUAAACAAGAAGUUAUUUGCUUUAGAAGAUGCAAUGUUAUGGGCCGAAAAGUCAACCAGAAAGUAUGUAUUCAUGUGUGGGGAACGCUUCAGGUACUUUGGCAAGCCACAAAACUUUCUUUGCUGCACAGACCUAUUAGCAAUCAAACAUAGUGAUCAGCACAUACACUAUCUGGGUGGGGCAUUAUACAAGAUUGAAGGAUGGCUGACUCCUCUAUGCCAAUUGUACUGUAUUUUAUAUAUUGCUAUAACAGGAAAUUUAACAAAAUCCUCACAAGACUGACCCCACAGGAAUCAGAAGUGGGGUGAAUCAAAAUGUGUCAAUCUGGAUGGCUCUCUUACUAAAUUAUAUGCAUUAUAUACAGUUCCUGCAUUCAGCAUAUUCCUUAUGCAUCUAGAGGUGUAUUCUACUUAUUUUUUCAUAUAAAGCUUGUAAAGAUUGCUCUGCUCUACACCAAGAACUAAAGUGAAUUGACAUAUUGGAAUGGAAACAAAGACAUAUUGGCAUUGGUUGUUUGUGUACUGUUAUCCCAUUCAAUCCAGUUAUAUGUAGUCGUCACUUCCAUUAAUGCAUGCAACCAAGCUAUAGUAUAUUGCACUAAUCAUGGUCCAGUUAUUUAAGAAUGUUGUACUUCGCCUAAAAACAUCCAACUGGUAUGACACAAUUUGUUUUUUAUAAAUUGGUGCACUGCUCUGUAUUUUUCAAA